AUUGAACGCUGGCGGCAGGCCUAACACAUGCAAGUCGAGCGAGCGGCGGACGGGUGAGUAAUGUCUGGGAAACUGCCUGAUGGAGGGGGAUAACUACUGGAAACGGUAGCUAAUACCGCAUACCAUCAGAUGUGCCCAGAUGGGAUUAGCUAGUAGGUGGGGUAAUGGCUCACCUAGGCGACGAUCCCUAGCUGGUCUGAGAGUAUGACCAGCAACACUGGAACUGAGACACGGUCCAGACUCCUACGGAAGGCAGCAGUGGUGAAGAUUGCACAAUGGGCGCAAGCCUGAUGCAGCCAUGCCGCGUGUAUGAAGAAGGCCUUCGGGUUGUAAAGUACUUUCAGCGGGGAGGCUUUACCCGCAGAAGAAGCACCGGCUAACGCCGUGCCAGCAGCCGCGGUAAUAC
rnacentral:rRNA from 1 species